rnacentral:rRNA from 1 species
UACGUAGGGUGCAAGCGUUGUCCGGAAUUAUUGGGCGUAAAGAGCUCGUAGGCGGUCUGUCGCGUCGGCUGUGAAAUCCCGCGGCUCAACUGCGGGUCUGCAGUCGAUACGGGCAGGCUAGAGUUCGGUAGGGGAGACUGGAAUUCCUGGUGUAGCGGUGAAAUGCGCAGAUAUCAGGAGGAACACCGGUGGCGAAGGCGGGUCUCUGGGCCGAUACUGACGCUGAGGAGCGAAGGCGUGGGGAGCGAACAGG